AACGCGUACUUAACCUGCCCAGAAGUUGUGGACAACCAUAGAGAUAUGGCUAAUCCACGAUAAUCCCUAAUGAAUGAAAAUAUUUAGGGCAAAGAUUUAUCGCUUUUGGAGGGGGGUGCGUCCUAUCAGGUAGUUGGUGAGGUAAUAGCUCACCAAGCCUAUGACGGGUAGCCGGUCUGAGAGGAUGUCCGGCCGCGAUGGAACUGAGACACGGUCCAUACUCCUACGGGAGGCAGCAGUGGGGAAUAUUGGACAAUGGGCGAAAGCCUGAUCCAGCGAUUCUGCGUGGAGGAUGAAGCAUUACGGUGUGUAAACUCCUUUUCUGGUGGAAGACGAAUGACGGUACACCAGGAAUAAGCAUCGGCUAACUAUGUGCCAGCAGCCGCGGUAAUACAUAGGAUGCAAGCGUUAUCCGGAGUCACUGGGCGUAAAGGGUUCGCAGCCGGAUCUAUAAGUCUGUUUUCAAAUUCUUUCGCUCAACGAAAGGCAGGGAAUAGAUACUGUAGAUCUAGAGGUUUUUGGAGGGUAAUGGAAUUCCAGGUGGAGCGGUGAAAUGUGUUGAUAUCUGGAAGAAUGCCGAAAGCGAAAGCAGUUACCUACAAUUUACCUGACGGUCAGGAACGAAAGCUUGGGGAGCAAGUGGGAUUAGAUACCCCAGUAGUCCAAGCUGUAAAUUAUGUUUGCUAGGUGUCUUUGCUUCAUUGCAGGGGUGCCGCAACCUAACGGGUUAAGCAAACCGCCUGGGUAGUAUACUCGCAAGAGUGAAACUCAAAGGGAUAGGCGGGGGAACACGCAAGCAGUGGAUGAUCUCGAUUAAUUGGAUACGAAGCCAGAAAUCUUACCUAGACUUGACAUGUAUUGUGUCUACGAUGAAAGUCGUAUAGCUGUAGCAAUACAGCGCUUUACACGGGUGGUGCAUGGUCGUCGUCAGCUCGUGCCGCAAGGUGUCUAGUUAAUUCUAGGAACGAGCGCAACCCUCGUCGUUAGUUAUUUUUUCUAACGAGACUGCCUUGGCAACAGGGAGGAAGGAGAGGGUGACGUCAGAUCCUCAUGCCCCUUACGUCUAGGGCUUCAGAGGUCAUACAAUGGGUAGUACAGCGAGAAGCAAUACCGCGAGGUGGAGCAAAUCUUUAAAGCUACCCCCAGUUCGGAUUGGAGUCUGGAAUUCGACUCCAUGAAGUUGGAAUUGCUAGUAAUGGCGGAUCACCAUGCCGCCGUGAAUAUGUCCCUGUUCCUUGCACUCACCGCCCGUCAAACCAUGGGAGUUGACGCUCUUUGAAGAUACGUUCGCGUAUUGAGGAGGGAAUCAAUGACUGGGGUU
rnacentral:rRNA from 1 species